rnacentral:lncRNA from 1 species
AAAAAAUCUCCUCAUCCCUUCGCGGCUGCCGCAAAGCGAAUGAGAUCCUGGAAAAAAAUAAACGCGGGGACGUUGAAAAUGGUGAUCAAAAGUGAACAGCUAUCGUAAGAAAAUGGGAUAUUCGUAUUCCUGGGAAAAAAACGAGGAAAUUUUUUGCUUACGAAAAUUUCUUUGGAAUAACAGUUUCCGAGUAUGUGUCCCGGAUUCACCAAUCGUCUCGCAGCUCGCCGGACAGAAACCGCCUUUUUUAGUCAUGUGACGGGCUACCGAUUGGCGGUAAACUUCAAAUCCCCGUAUCUCGAUAACCAUGAAUACCUACUUCAAAGACCGUGCGAAGGAAAAUUGGUCUCAAAAUUUGGUGAAAACUCAAUUGGUUUUCUGCUCUUUUACACCCGCUCGUCGAGAAAACUACGCUGUGGAUGUUUUUGCUCGCCGGAAGCCGCGAUCGGCAUACAAAGUGUUCCUCCUCGAACGGACUUUGGAUGCAUGCAGAAAAUGCCCAUGCGUGUGUACGUUUGGUUUACUGGACACCUAUUAGCUGGGUAUUGAUCAUGAUUCGCAGAG